AUGCUACAGUGGCCAAUUCCCACAUCUGUAACUGAAUUGAGGGGUUUUCUGGGACUCACUGGAUAUUACAGAAAGUUUGUGAGGAAUUAUGGGGUGUUGGCCAAACCCUUGAUUGCCUUGUUGAAGAAACAAGCAUUCUCCUGGUCUGAUGAGGCACAACAAGCUUUCCAGCUGCUCAAACAAGCCAUGGUUAACACUCCUGUGUUAGCUCUUCCCAACUUUGACAAGACCUUUACUGUAGAAACUGAUGCUUGCAACACUGGAGUGGGAGUUGUUCUGUCCCAGGAGGGUCAUCCCAUUGCAUAUUACAGCAAAGCCUUGGGAGUGCAAAAUCAGAAGAAAUCCAUAUAUGAGAAGGAGUUUUUGGCAAUUAUGUUGGCCAUAGACAGAUGGAGAUCUUAG
rnacentral:rRNA from 1 species